AUUGAACGCUGGCGGCAGGCCUAACACAUGCAAGUCGAACGAGUGGCGGACGGGUGAGUAAUGUCUGGGAAACUGCCCGAUGGAGGGGGAUAACUACUGGAAACGGUAGCUAAUACCGCAUACCAUCGGAUGUGCCCAGAUGGGUUUAGCUUGUAGGUGAGGUAACGGCUCACCUAGGCGACGAUCCCUAGCUGGUCUGAGAGGAUGACCAGCAAAACUGGAACUGAGAAACGGUCCAGACUCCUACGGGAGGCAGCGGUGGGGAAUAUUGCAAAAUGGGGGCAAGCCUGAGACAGCCAUGCCGCGUGGAGGAAGAAGGCCUUCGGGUUGUAAAGUACUUGCAGCGGGGAGGCGUUACCCGCAGAAGAAGCACCGGCUAACUCCGUGCCAGCAGCCGCGGUAAUAC
rnacentral:rRNA from 1 species